CAAUAGCGUAUAUUAAAGUUGUUGCGGUUAAAAAAGCUCGUAGUUGGAUUUCUGUUGAGAGCGGCCGGUCCACCUUUUGGGUGAGUAUCUGGAUUGGUCUCGGCAUCCUCACAACGAAUGUUUCUGCGCUUGAUUGCGUGGUAUAGGCGUUGUGACUUUUACUUUGAAAAAAUUAGAGUGUUCAAAGCGGGCUUACGCUUGAAUAUUUCAGCAUGGAAUAACACUAUAGGACUCCUGUCCUAUUUCAUUGGUCUCGGGACGGGAGUAAUGAUUAAGAGGAACAGUUGGGGGGCAUUCGUAUUUCAUUGUCAGAGGUGAAAUUCUUGGAUUUAUGAAAGACGAACUUCUGCGAAAGCAUUUGCCAAGGAUGUUUUCAUUAAUCAAGAACGAAAGUUGGGGGCUCGAAGACGAUUAGAUACCG
rnacentral:rRNA from 1 species